rnacentral:pre_miRNA from 1 species
AAAGUACUCCCUCCAUCCGGAAUUACUUGUCAUCAAAAUGGAUGUGUCUAGAACUAAAAUACAUCUAGAUACAUCCAUUUCAAUAACAAGUAUUUCCUGACGGAGGGAGUACAAG